GAUGAGUGGACGUUACUCGCAGAAUAAGCACCGGCUAACUCUGUGCCAGCAGCCGCGGUAAUACAGAGGGUGCGAGCGUUAAUCGGAUUUACUGGGCGUAAAGCGUGCGUAGGCGGCUUUUUAAGUCGGAUGUGAAAUCCCCGAGCUUAACUUGGGAAUUGCAUUCGAUACUGGGAAGCUAGAGUAUGGGAGAGGAUGGUAGAAUUCCAGGUGUAGCGGUGAAAUGCGUAGAGAUCUGGAGGAAUACCGAUGGCGAAGGCAGCCAUCUGGCCUAAUACUGACGCUGAGGUACGAAAGCAUGGGGAGCAAACAGGAUUAGAUACCCUGGUAGUCCAUGCCGUAAACGAUGUCUACUAGCCGUUGGGGCCUUUGAGGCUUUAGUGGCGCAGCUAACGCGAUAAGUAGACCGCCUGGGGAGUACGGUCGCAAGACUAAAACUCAAAUGAAUUGACGGGGGCCCGCACAAGCGGUGGAGCAUGUGGUUUAAUUCGAUGCAACGCGAAGAACCUUACCUGGUCUUGACAUAGUAAGAACUUUCCAGAGAUGGAUUGGUGCCUUCGGGAACUUACAUACAGGUGCUGCAUGGCUGUCGUCAGCUCGUGUCGUGAGAUGUUGGGUUAAGUCCCGCAACGAGCGCAACCCUUUUCCUUAUUUGCCAGCGCUUCGGGUGGGAACUUUAAGGAUACUGCCAGUGACAAACUGGAGGAAGGCGGGGACGACGUCAAGUCAUCAUGGCCCUUACGACCAGGGCUACACACGUGCUACAAUGGUCGGUACAAAGGGUUGCUACCUAGCGAUAGGAUGCUAAUCUCAAAAAGCCGAUCGUAGUCCGGAUUGGAGUCUGCAACUCGACUCCAUGAAGUCGGAAUCG
rnacentral:rRNA from 1 species